rnacentral:tmRNA from 1 species
GGGGAUGUCAGGUUUCGACGGGAUUCGUUUGGCUUAAACUGCAAGUAGAUGGCAAUCUUAAAAUGCGUCAGUUAAAUAUAACUGGAAACAAUUAUCAAAUGGCUUACGCUGCUUAAUAGAAGCAUAUAGCGUAGCGCUUCUUUUAAGGUUUUACCUACGGACUUUAUAAGAGGCUCGAUUUAGUAGGUUAUAUCUUGUUCUUGUUUCGUGGACUUGAUGAAUUUUAGAAACUAGUUAUCAUAUUAGUUGUUAACUACUGUUUAUGAUAGCGAAUUUUCUUAGUUAACUAAACUUGUAGACGUUUUUGUGAGACGGGUUUCGGACAGGAGUUCGAUUCUCCUCAUCUCCACCA